UGGGGGAUAUUGCACAAUGGGCGAAAGCCUGAUGCAGCGACGCCGCGUGGGGGAUGAAGGCUUUCGGGUUGUAAACCUCUUUCGCUAUCGAACAAGGCCCGCUUAGGGUGGGUUGAGGGUAGGUGGAGAAGAAGCGCCGGCUAACUACGUGCCAGCAGCCGCGGUAAUACGUAGGGCGCGAGCGUUGUCCGGAAUUAUUGGGCGUAAAGGGCUUGUAGGCGGCUUGUUGCGCCUGCUGUGAAAACGCGGGGCUUAACUUCGCGCGUGCAGUGGGUACGGGCAGGCUUGAGUGUGGUAGGGGCGACUGGAAUUCCAGGUGUAGCGGUGGAAUGCGCAGAUAUCUGGAGGAACACCGAUGGCGAAGGCAGGUCACUGGACCAUUACUGACGCUGAGGAGCGAAAGCAUGGGUAGCGAACAGG
rnacentral:rRNA from 1 species